UUGUCAUCUACAUUUGUCUUGAUGUGUACUAAUACUGAGAUUUGGUAUUGCACAAGUAGGUAUUGUAAUCCCUUGUUUUUUAUAGUUGCUGCUAUGUUAAAAGUUUGUUCUUCCUUCUAUUUCAAGUCCAGUAGCUUUGGUUUGUCUUGCAACAUAUUCCCUUUCCAGAAUUGAUAUUGGUGUCUCCUCCUCUCCCCAUAUGAUUAAGAAUGGGGAAGAAAAGACUGUUUUUAUUUAUAAACACUGGAGCGUGCAGCAGAUGAAAAAGUAUAAAGGAGUUUCAAACAGAAUUUGGUGCUUGUACCCUGGAAGCAGACAUCUGUAAACUCGCAGGAAACAUUAUUGUUUUAAUUAGAUCUUACUGCACUUAGGUCACAACAACCCCAUGCAUCAGUACAGGCUUGUAUGACUGGGAAGCUGCACAGAAGAAAAGGAUCUGGAGGUAUUAGUUGACAGGUGGCUGAACAAGAGCCAGCAAUGUGCCCAGGUGGCCAAGAAGGCCAAUGUCAUCCUGGCUUGUAUCAGAAACAGUGUAGUCACUGGGACUGGGAGAGGUGAUCAUCCUUCUGUACUUGGCACUGGUGAGGCCGUACCUUCAGUACUGCAUUUGUUUUGGAACCCUCACUACAAGAGAGAUGCUGAAACCCUAGUGCAUUUCUAAAGGGCAACAAAACUAGUGAAGGGUCUGGAACACUAGUCUUAUGAGGAACAGCUGGGAUUGGGGUUUGAGUCUGGAGAAGAAGAGGCUCAGGAGAGAUCUUAUCGCUCUAUACAACUACCUGAAAGGAGGCGGUAAUGUGGUGGGGAUAAGUCUCUUCUCUCUGGUAAUUAGUAAUAUGACAAGAAGAAUUGGCAAUAAAUUUGUGGCAGGAGAGGUUCAGGCUAUAUAUUAUGAAAAAAAAUCAUUCUCUGAAAGAGUGAUCAAACAUUGGAAUAGGCUGAUCAGGGAAGAGGUAGAGUCACUGUCACUGAAGGCUUUCAAGAAAGGGGUAGAUGUGGCACAUAGGGAUGUGGUUUAGUAGGCACAGUGGUGAUGGUUUGACAGUUGGACAUGAUGAUCUUAGAGGUCUUUUCCAACCUUAACAAUUCUAUCAUUCUAUCUCCCCUUCAUAAUGUCCAUUUAUAGGUUAGGUUCCACUCCCUGGGAGCUCUUCUUUGAAUCAUGUCAUUGUGAAUUAGAAAGUAGACAUCAUAUUCCAUUAGGAGAGUAACUACUAGCUCUCUAAAACAAGAGAAUGGUAGUUGAACUGGUCAAAUCCUGAAUGCUUUUGUACAGCUGACAUAAUGAAAGCUGAGGCAAAUUCCUUAAAUUGAGAUGCAUGCAGGAAUCUUAAAAAGGAGCCAGGCAAUAGAAGUCACUGGACAAAGAUGAAGGAUCCUUGGGGAACAGUCACUGGUUUUACAUGUUACAGAGACAGCAUGGUAUGCUUAGAAAGGAUAAUUAUAAGGAAACACCUGGUGUCUAUAAGUGCCUCUUCUCACAUUUUUGGUGUCUUGUUUGGUUAAGCCCUGUGUAAAAUUGCAAAAUGGAAGUAUAGAAUGAUUCGAUUUUAUUCUACACUUGGAUAUGCCUGGUAAAUUUACCCCAAGGCAUGUGCUAUUUGUUUGGUUGUCUCCUCAUAAGACCAUAAACAAUGGAAAUUACUGUGCAUUUUUAGUGCUGGAUUUGUUUUUGUAUUCCAUAUAAACACAUGCGAGACUGCUGUUGUUGCCAAUUCUACUUUUUUUUCCUGACUGGUUUAACAAUAUUCCUGCUAGUGGAUACUAUAUCUGCAUGCUUCUUGGUAACUGAGUACAGUUACAGCAGAGGAAUUAGUUACAUUAGCUCCCUACUAUUUGUAAAUGUACAUUACUUUUUCCAUCCUUCACAGCCUACAAAGCAAUUCCUACCAGCAAAGUUACUUUAUAUAUUAUGCUUGCUUAUUUAUCUUAACUUUCAUCAGCAAGGUAGCCUGUUCAGUUCUCCACAUAGAAGGUGCCUUCGUAAUCUGAGAAUAAUGAAUCCAGGCUUCUUUUCCUUCCAGUUUCACUGAAGUGUAGGUGGUCAGCAGAACUUGGAAGGGUCCUUUCCACUUCUCUUGCAGUGGUUUGGAUGUCCAGGAUUUGGCAUACACCCAGUCUCCUGGUAGGAAUGGAUGCAUGGUAACCAAUCCUGGCUUAUCUAUUCUCACUGGCUCAGUUCUCUUUGAUCUUCCAGGCACCUCCCCUGCCCAUAUCAAAGGCACCGCUGCAGCUUCACUUUCAGGUGAAAUACCUUUCUUUUCUGGCUCGACUUCCUUUAACAAUAACACUUCAGUUUGGAC
rnacentral:lncRNA from 1 species